GAAACAUAUUAAAUUUGACUAACACCACAAAGAUCAUGAGCUAACCAAGCAAGAAUCCCAUCCGGUGACCGAUCAAACUGAUAAGCACCAAUAGAAAGGCCCGAAGCAAAACUGGCCAUCCAAUCAGCUAAGAAGUUCGCUCCUCUGUAUACAUGAAUAAAUUGAAUAUCCCAAUCAUCAGCAACUUCCAUCUUCAUUGAAAUCACCAGAGAAUGCAACAUUAGCGGACACUCAUACUGACCUUAAAGAAUAGCAAUAGCAAUUCUAUUGUCACUCUUAAGCAACAACUUCCGAAGAUUCAUCCCCCUAUGUAAUUUCACACUUUCCAAAAUACCCCACAACUCAAUUGCUAGAACAAAGCAUUGCCCAAGAUUAACAACUAAAAUUUUGCACCACUAGCUAUUCGAAUCUCUAAUCAAAUCUCUUGCGGAAGCUUCACCAGUAGCAGAUCUUUGAGAGCCAUCUGUAUUGCGUUUGAAAAAACUCUCCUGCCUGUGGCUUCCAACCAAUCAACGAAUUAACUUUUUGGUGAAACAUGUCCACUUUUAGCCUGGACUGUCUUCAAGAAUCUUUGAAAUCCUUGGCACUACUGAUAACAUGGUCAACACUAGAAAUAUAUGAUUACAUGUUAAGACCCAUAUUGGUUGGGAACUAAACAAAAAUGUUUUAUAUAUGAUUUACUAAUCCUAGCCCUACAAAACAACUUUGAAAACAUAGUUAAUUCGAUUCAUUUUAUCAAUAUGAUAUCCGAGUUUUAGUCUUAAAUGCGAGGAAGGGUGUUAAAUUCCACAUCAAUUGAGUAUUCAACAUAAAUUCUUCAGAUGUGACUUCAACAAUCGUAGUCCUAUAAAAUGACUGUCGAGGUGAAAUUAGCCUCAAUUAAUUUUAUCAACAAGAAACUAAUUAUUUAAAUUUUAGUGCAGAGGAAUUUUUUAGGUUCUUUUAGUCCCCUAACCCCAUAGUAAAAUAUGCGCUACUCUUCUACGGUUGUUAGCGUUUAGCACAGAGUCAGAUGUUGAUUUUCUUAGUGCUAGUUUUGAUCGUAAUAGACUAAGGGGUUCCUCCUUGCAAGUGGGUUCAGACAAAUGAUAAGCAUUUCUUGGAGAUACUGUGCACCAACAUGGGUAAAAGAGAAAUUACAGUUUACUUCUGCAAGAAAAAUUUGUCAUUGAAUGCUGUAUAUUGGUUAGUUUCUUGAAAUAAUAAUAAUUAAUCAUUAUAUGAAAGAUGAAAAAUCACUAGAUCAAGCUAGUUUCCUUUACGAUUUAACAAUCUAAACAAGUUUUUUUAACAAGUCCAGACAAUUUUACAAAUGAAAACAGAAGUUACAAAGGCCAAAAACAAAAGCAGCAGAAAAUGUUGAGUCAAACAUAAUUUCCAUUGCCAAUCCCCAAUUUAACAGGUCUGCUAUGCAGGAUUAAUUGCAUUAGUGAUGCAUAAAUAACUAGUCUUCACACAAGGCAACCAUGUUGUUUUAGACAACUUCGGCUCUGAAGUCUGUCAUUCUUUGUGCAUUCCUCCUAGAAAUUGAGAGCUCUAUUAACAUAAAUCAAGGAGAGUUGCAACUAAGAGAAUUGCCUAUGCAUAUAAUUCAAAUUUAAUGUCCCACGGAAAUUUCCACUUCUACUCGCAAUGUCCAUCAUGCCCUCUCCACAAGGAAACGAGGUCAGUUCUUACAUUUUACUUCUGAAGUGCAUACCAAAUUUAUUAAAAUGAGAAACUGAAGUCAUCAAUUUCUACUCUUUGCUACACGUAUAUACAUGAUUUCUUAUAGUGAUCUCUAAUUAAAUGAAAAAAAAAAAAUCCAAUGCAUUUCUGCACAACCAACAUGAUUCGUCACAGACGAUUAACUUAUGCAACAAUAUUCAUGAAUCCCGGUUGCAAUGAAAACAAGUAUAACACUGAACAACACUCUGCAUAUCAUGUUGGCAGAAUUUGGGUCCCGGUCACCCAUGUGGGUCAACCUGGACCCAUAAGCUUUUAUUUUAUGUGAAUGAAAGAAAAUAAUAUAAAAAUAUAUAUUAGCAGGAAAAAAGACAAAAUGCAUGACUGUAAGGUAGUU
rnacentral:misc_RNA from 1 species